UAUAUAUAUAUAUAUAUAUAUAUAUAUAUAUAUAUAUAUAUAUCAUACAGUAUAACUUUUAAUUCUUAUUAAUAAUAAUUUCCUAUCAUUAUUUUCUGUUAACCUUUCCUUUUAGCAUAAAUGGCAUCUUCAUUGUAUCUAAACUAAUUAAUUUGAAUCAUUGGAUUUUUUUGUUGCUUUGGAAUUUAUAUAAACAAUCUAUUGUUAUUAUAUUAUUAUAAUUAUUACAUGCAUAAGUAUAGGUAAUUUUAGAGGGGAGUUUUUAAAAUAUUUUAGGAGGUGGCCUUGAAUUCCUGGGGUCAAAUUAUUCUCCUCCCUGUGCCUCCCAGAUAACUGGGACUCAAGUAUGUGCCACUUCCUCUAGCAGGAGAAUAUUUUUUAUGUUUCUUUCCCUUCUGUGUCUUUUUUUUUUUUUUAAAGAGAGAGUGGAGAGAGAGAGAGAAUUUUUUUUUAAUAUUUAUUUUUUAGCUUUUCGGCGGACACAACAUCUUUGUUUGUAUGUGGUGCUGAGGAUCGAACCCGGGCCGCACGCAUGCCAGACUAGCGCGCUACCGCUUGAGCCACAUCCUCAGCCCCUCUCUUCUGUGUCUUAAGAACCAAAUAUUUGAAUUACAGUAAACUAGCAUAAAUUAUGAAAUCAGUCAUAUGAAGUAAUUAAUUAAAGUUAUAUAUUUGUAUGCUUUUUCUCUAAGCAGGUUGGCAACAUUGUACAAAUCACCAAGCCAAAAGGAAUCCACAGUACUGUUUCAGAUCACACCUCAGGGAUUUAGAGAUGCUGUUGCCACAGAAGGUUCAUCGAGUACCCGGAAAAGGUCACGAGAACCAGAGGAAGAACAGUAACCCCAAAACAAAUCUACAAUAUACAAAUAUAUUGAUGUGAAAUUCAUUGUUUAUAAGUAGUAUACUCAUUACUUUAAAGUAUAAACACAAUAACAUGAAUGAAUCAGGAUUAUAUGAAGUAAAUGGGAAAAGUAUUUAAGGGAUGUGAUUCUCUGAAAAAUGUUUUCUAAAGCAGUGUUCUACAAUUACAUUUUGCUUUGGUUUCAUUUUCAGUAGCAUUCAGUAAGAGGUAACAUAGGUAUUUCAUUUUCCAACUGUGGAAAGCUACUCGCGUGUGGCCGAUCUGAAUUUACUGUUCAGACUAGUAAAUUUUUUUUCCCAAUUGCUUAGGAAAAUCAUAGGAAUAAAGGAUUUUUAAAAUAUUAUUUGUUCUCUUUUUUUUUCAAUUUUUUUUUAGUUUUUGAUAGACUUUUAUUUUAUUUAUUUAUAUAUGGUGCUGAGAAUUGAACCCUGUGCUCCACACAUGCCAAGCAAUUACGCUACCACUGAGCCCUAGCCCUCUUACUUGUUCUCUUUAAAUGAAGUUUUAAUAAUUCUUUAAAAUAACCUGGUUUUUUUUUUUUGACUGUAAAGUAAAAACCAUGAGUCAGCAUAUCCUGUUCAGUUUUAUGGGUAGGAUGCAAAUUUUAGAUGAUCAAAUUGAAUUUAAUGAAUUCAGUUCUAAAAUCUAAGCCAUUUGUUUAAUUUUUGUUAUUUUAAAAUGUUACAAGAAAGAUUUUGAUGCAGUUAUCUAGAAAUUGUUUAAAACAUUUUAGAGUAAGGUUAUAAGCCUGCAAUUAUUUAUUUUUACAUUUUGAAGCAUGAUGUUAUUCAUUCUAGAAUUAUAGAUGUAUUGACAUUUUUCUUUGAAUAAUCUUAACCCUGCUUGAAUAAAUUAAAAUUUUGGAUUUUUGAGUGUUUUCCAAAUCAUAUAAAAAUGUCUGGUACUUGAUUCUUAAUAUUUCUGAAUACAUUUACAAAAUUUACUUUGUUUCCUAUAUAGAAAGAAAGAAAUAUUUUUUUCUUUUGAAUGUUGGGAGUCAAACCCAUGCCCUUGCCCAUGCUAGGCAAGUGCUCUACCACUGAGCCAUGGUGCAGCUUCCUUAGCUCUUGUUUUUUGUUUUGUUUUGGUACUGAGGAUUAAACCUGUAGUGCUUUACCAUUGAGCUACUUCCCCAGACCUUUUUGUUUUUUAUUUGAAGACAGGGUCUUUCUGAGUUGCUUAGGGUCUCACUAAAUUGCUGAAGCUGGCCUCAAACUUUUUUUUUGGUACUGGGGAUUACUCGGGGGCAUUUAACCACUGAGCCAUAUCCCUAGCCCUUUUUUUGUAUUUUAUUUAGAGACAUGGCCUUGAUAAUUUGCUGAGGCUGGCUUUGAACUCACAAUCUUCCUGUCUCAGCCUCCUGAACCUCUGGGAUUACAGGUGUGUGCCAUUGAUCCUCCUACCUCAGCGAGUUGCUGGUAUUACAGGCAUGCACUGUCACACCGGGCCUCCUUAUUUCUUUAAAGCUUAAUUUUUCAAAGAUUAUUAUUUCUUCUUCAGUUUGUAAACUUUUCCCCUAGCAUUUUCUGUUACUUGGUUUUAAUUCAUAAUGAUGUGAUAUUAUACCUAUUGUCCCCAGUUUAUGAGCUUAGAAGUUUAGAAGUCUUACUUUCUGGCAGACCAGUGCUUCAUGCAGGCUUUAUCUUGUAGUUAGUAAGGUAAAUUGAAAAGAUGUAUAUUGCCUUACUCAAUUUCAUGCCAUUGCUAUGAUCAUCCUUUCUGGUGAUUUUUUUUUUAAACAUACAUAAAUAUAAAGGUUCAUGGGGGUAAGUGUUAUUGUGAGGUAGUAGAAACUAAGAGGUGGGGCCUAGUGAGAGAUUUCUUUUUUUUUUUUUUUAAAUAUCAGGGAUUGAACCCAGAGCCACAUAUAUAAUUUUUUUAAAUAUAUUUUUUAGAUUUAGGUGGAUACAAUAUCUUUAUUUUAUUUUUAUGUGGUGCUGAGGAUCGAACCCAGUGCCUCACACAUGCUAGGCAAGCACUCUACCACUUGAGCCACAACCCCAGCCCUGGCCUUUUAUAUUUUUGAGACAAGUUUUCAUUAAGUUGUUCAGGUCCUCACUAAGUUGCUAAGGCUGGCUUUGAACUUGAAGUCCUCCUGCUUUAGCCUCUUGAGCCACUGGGAUUAUACGUGUAUGCCACUGUACCUGCCAUAGUAAGAGAUCUUUAUGUUAUUGAAGGGAUGCCCCAAAAGGAUUUGGGACCCCAGUUUCUCCUUUUUUUUCUCUUUUGUUUCCUGACUAUGAGCUGUGCAGUUUUGCUCUGCCAGUUUUGCUCUUGCCAUUGCCAUCCAGCACCCCCAUUGGAGACCUAAAAUAAAUGGGUCCUCCUGAUCAUGGACUAGAACCUCCGAAACUGUGUGCCAAAACAAACUUUUUUUUUUUUUAAUAAGUCGCUUAUCUCAGGAGUUUGUUAUAGUGAUGGAAAGCUAACAUAAAUACAUUUGCACACAUACAUAGAAAACAUUUUCAUUGUUCUUUUUUAAAAUAUCAGUUUAGUAUAUUAUCAUUCCUUGGCUAUAGUUAAUACAACACAGGCUGUUUAAUACAGUUUACUUUAAAAAUUAUUCAUUCUGGGUUUGAGGUUGUGGCUCAGUGGUAGAAUGCUUGCCUAGCAUAUGUGAGGCACUGGGUUCGAUCCUCAGCACCACAUAAAAAUCAGGAAAUAAAAUGAAGGUAUUGUGUUCAUCUACAACUAAAAAACAUUUUUUUAAAAAUUAUUCAUUCUGGAAAGAAUAAAUACUCUAAAUUUUGCUCUUUGAGAAACCCUUUCUACACUUAUAUACUUGGAAAAUCAGUUUGAUUCCAAGUAAGUUAUUAAAGGUAUAGUAUAUAAUAAAAUAUAGAGGUUAAAGGCUCACAUAGGGCUGGGGCUGGAGCUCAGUAACAGAGCACUUGCCUAGCAUGUGUGAGGCACUGGGCUUAAUUCUUAGUACCACAUAAAAAUAAAUAAAAUAAAGGCAUUCUGUCCAUCUACAAUUACAAAAAAAAUUAAUUAAAAAGAUUCACAUAAUCUAAUUCAGGGUUUUGUUUUGUUUAGGACAGAGCUUAACAUUUCAAAUGCAGAUAGAGAUCUAUGUUGCUGGAUAAAACAGAAAUUAUCCCACCAACAUCUUUCAUCAUAAAUUUAAGUUUUUUCAAAUGUGCUUGUGUGCGUGUGUGUGUGUGUGUGUGUGUGUGUGGUGGGGAUAUGUUUAUACAGUGCUUUGUUAUUAUUACUUUUUAAUAUUUGUUUUUAGGUGUUGAUGGACCUUUAUUUUAUUCACUUAUGUAUAUGUGGUGCUGAAAAUCAAACCCAGGGCCUCUCACAUGCUAGGCAAGUACUCUACCACUGAGCCACAACUCCAGCUCACUAUGUAGUGCUUUAUUAUUUAUGGAGCACUUUUACAUCAUUCAUUGUUUUAACACUUUUAUAAGAUAGAUGUGAUAGUUUGUCCUAUCUGCUUUUUUCCUUUCUUCUUUACAUCUAUCCAUCAAUGCUUAACACAUUUAACUACUACUUAUUGAAUAUUUCAAAUAAGAUUUCUACUUUUUUAAUAUUUAUUUUUUAGUUAUAGGUGGACACAAUAUCUUUAUUUUAUUUUUUAAAUGUACACCUAAUUUGCAUUAGUUAUGUUCUUGGUGUAAUGCAACCAUCACCAGUAUUUCCAAAACUUUUCAUCGCCCCUAAACAGAAACUGAACCUAUUAGGUAAUAAUUCUUCAUUCUUCUUUCCUCCAGUUCCUGGUAAUCAUUUUAUGUUUUUAUGAAUUUGCUAAAUUCAAAUACUUCAUUUAAGUGGAAUCAUAUAAUAAUUUUUCUUUUGUCUCCAGUCUAUUUCAUUCUGCAUGAUUUUAAGCUUCGUCCAUAUUGUGGCAUUCCUAUUUAUGGUUAAAUAGUAUUCUAUUUUAUGUAUACACUAUAUUUUAUCCAUCUGUUGCUAGACAUUUGGAUUAUUUCUAAAGUGUUUUAGUAGUUUAUAAGUUUUUAUAAAAUAAUACCUUUUUUGUUUUCUGAAACUUAUGGACUUUCAUUGCUAACCAGGUUUAGGGUAGGUAGCUGAUUUAGCUUUGGAAUAUUUAAUUUAAUCAUAAUUCAUUUUCAUUCUGUAAUUAGUUUUUAUUUUCCCUUUAGUUAUUGUUUUUUUAUUUUUCUUAGUAGUGUUUUUACUAAAAUAUUUGCAUCUUAAUGAUAAAAUUAUAGUAUAAUGUGACAGAAAGAUCAUAAGAAUAGAUUUACAAGACUUGCAUUCUAAUUCCAGUUGAGACAUUAACAAGUCAUGUCAAUUUUGGCAUCUUUAUUUUGUCAUGUCUUUAUCUUAUUUAUAAGCAAGCUAGUACUAAGUGAUUGCUUAAUUUCAUUGGUCUAAAUUUUGUGGUUUCUAUUUCUGUAGAGGUAUUAUUAAAUAUUUACUUUAAAUGAUCAAUACUGAAAAUAUUGAAAAGAGUCCAGUAUAAAUACAUUUUUAUACUUAGGUUCCCAUUGUAAGACAUUGAAUUUCAGUUUUGAGAUGCAAAGUUGAAAUAUUCUGUUGUUUAAAAAAAAAACAGUUGCAGAAGAGAGGCUGGCUGUUCAUAAUAUGUAUUUUUAGUUAACAUCAGUGCCUAAAUUUACUGUUACUGUUAAAAUUUACAGAACAUUUUGCUCCCUCAGAACUGAUUUUGGCAUAAAAUAUGCUGACAAGAUUUCAUGUAUUUUUGACCACAGUAUAUUCCUUUGCCUCUUUUCCAAUUUUGUUCACCAUUGACAUACGCCCUUCUGUGAUUCAACUAUCCAUUUGAUUCUCAUUAUGUGUAGUAAAAUGUGAGUUUUUAAACACACCA